CUUGUUUCCUGUUCAAAGUUUAUUUUCACUUUACUCACUUUGUGGCGCAGUUUGUUCUCUCCGUGUGAAGCUCCAGCUGAAGGACCCAGACCCUGCUGAACCUGAACCUGAACCCAGCUGUGUCCAUGAAGAGAAUGGAGGAUGGAGACACCACUACUUUACUUUAAAAAAUAAAAAAGAAGCCAGCCUGAAAUGGAGAGGCCAACUAAAAUGGAGGAGGGGAGAAAUAAAAGAGAGAGGCUACUUGAAAUGGUGAAUAGAAGAGGGACCCAGCAGAGACCAGAACCUGAACCUGAACCUGAUCCUG